rfam:Populus trichocarpa scaffold_506_contig_1, whole genome shotgun sequence.
ACUAGAACUCGAGAUAUGGGUUGAACACUAAACAAUGUCUAGGCUGCAGGACAGAUUCCGACUUCUCUAUUGUUGCUACAAUUUGAACUUGAAAAUGGUCCUUUUGAAUCUUGGACUCUCUUGAAAGUUUUAGGCCUAUGUCUUAGCUUUCUAUC